rnacentral:rRNA from 1 species
GCAAGUCGAACGAGAACGGGUAUUAGUUUACUAAUACUGUCAGCUAAGUGGCGCACGGGUGAGUAAUAUAUAGUUAAUCUGCCUCUAAGAAGGGAAUAAUUGAUGGAAACGUCUUGUAAUGCCCUAUAUGCCUUUAAGUCAUAAGACUGCAAGGGAAACGCAUUGUGCUUAGAGAUGAGACUGUACAGUAUCAGCUUGUUGGUGAGGUAAUGGCUCACCAAGGCUAUGACGCUUAACUGGUUUGAGAGGAUGAUC